AUUUGAUGAUGAGGGAAACUAGCACUCAACUGCUUAAAUCUCUCCCAAAACUCAUAUAAUGACUCCCCAGUCUAUUGGCGAAUGCCAUAAAUUUCCUUCCUUAUACU